rnacentral:rRNA from 1 species
AACGAAUGCUGGCGGCAGGCCUAACACAUGCAAGUCGAGCGAAGCCUUCGGGCUUAGCGGCGGACGGGUGAGUAACGCGUGGGAACGUGCCCUUUGGUACGGAAUAGCCCCGGGAAACUGGGAGUAAUACCGUAUGUGGUCGAGAGACGAAAGAUUUAUCGCCAAAGGAUCGGCCCGCGUUGGAUUAGGUAGUUGGUGGGGUAAUGGCCUACCAAGCCGACGAUCCAUAGCUGGUUUGAGAGGAUGAUCAGCCACACUGGGACUGAGACACGGCCCAGACUCCUACGGGAGGCAGCAGUGGGGAAUCUUAGACAAUGGGGGAAACCCUGAUCUAGCCAUGCCGCGUGAUCGAUGAAGGCCUUAGGGCUGUAAAGAUCUUUCAGUGGGGAAGAUAAUGACUGUACCCACAAAAGAAGCCCCGGCUAACUCCGUGCCAGCAGCCGCAGUAAUAC